AGAGUUUGAUCCUGGCUCAGGACGAACGCUGGCGGCGUGCUUAACACAUGCAAGUGGAGCGACGAACCGGGCUUCGGCCCGGGGCAGAGCCGCGAACGGGUGAGUAACACGUGGGUAACCUACCCCGAUGACCGGGACAACCCGAGGAAACUCGGGCUAAUACCGGAUGUGCUCGUUGGUCAUGAGGUCAACGAGUAAAG
rnacentral:rRNA from 1 species